GCUCCCAGUGCCCAAUCCCAGUGCUCCCAGUGCUCCCAGUGCCCAAUCCCAGUGUUCCCAGUGGUCCCAGUGCCCAAUCCCAUCACUCCCAGUUCUCCCAGUGCUCCCAGUUACCGACGAUGCGCAGGCGCAUCUCGGCCGUGUCCUCCAUGCCCUCGAUGCGCACGCUCAGCCCAGUGCUCCCAGUGCCAAUCCCAGUGCUCCCAGUGCCCAAUCCCAGUGCCCCCAGUGCUCCCAGUGCCCGUCCCAUCACUCCCAGUCGCUCCCAGUGCUCCCAGUUUGCCCAGUUACUAUGAAGAAGGGAAAACAGAGAGAAAUCUCCAAGGAAAGCCUAAAACAGGAAAUUAAGAAAGCCCCUUUAACGGUGCACAUGGAUUGGGAAGGAGGGAAGGCAGGACUCAGCACAUAAAGCUCUUUCAUGAAAAUGGCAACAGGCUUGUGUAAAGAACAAAAACACAGCUUGUGCUGGGAAUGGCAGAAUGGGGUGUCGCGGUCCGACGUGCGCACGUGCACGUCCUCGCCCAGCGGCGCGCCCUCCUUCGUCCACGUCACCUGGGGGCGGGGCUUACCCUGCGGGGGGCGGGGCUUGUUAGGGCUCAGUUCCCCCUAUGGGGCUGAAUC
rnacentral:lncRNA from 12 species